CAAGGGCCCUGCACAGGUGGUGCAUGGCUGUCGUCAGCUCGUGUCGUGAGAUGUUGGGUUAAGUCCCGCAACGAGCGCAACCCUUGUCAUUAGUUGCUACAUUCAGUUGGGCACUCUAAUGAGACUGCCGGUGACAAACCGGAGGAAGGUGGGGAUGACGUCAAGUCCUCAUGGCCCUUAUAGGUGGGGCUACACACGUCAUACAAUGGAUGGUACAAAGGGUCGCCAACCCGCGAGGGGGAGCCAAUCCCAUAAAGCCAUUCGUAGUCCGGAUCGCAGUCUGCAACUCGACUGCGUGAAGUCGGAAUCGCUAGUAAUCGUGGAUCAGAAUGUCACGGUGAAUACGUUCCCGGGUCUU
rnacentral:rRNA from 1 species